AGCGAACGCUGGCGGCGUGCUUAACACAUGCAAGUCGAGUGCGCAGUCUUCUGUAGCAAUACAGGAGACCGGCGCACGGCGCACGGGUGCGUAACACGUGGGUAACCUGCCCUCCAAAGGGGGAUAACCCCGCGAAAGCGGGGCUAAUACCGCAUGACAUUCCGGUGACCUCGGUCGCUGGAAUCAAAGCCCGCAAGGGCGUUGGGGGAGGGGCCCGCGGCCGAUUAGCUUGUUGGCGAGGUAAUGGCUCACCAAGGCUUUGAUCGGUAG
rnacentral:rRNA from 1 species